AGUGAACGCUGGCGGUAGGCCUAACACAUGCAAGUCGAACGGCAGCACAGUAAGAGCUUGCUCUUACGGGUGGCGAGUGGCGGACGGGUGAGGAAUACACCGGAAUCUACUUUUUCGUGGGUGAUAACGUAGGGAAACUUACGCUAAUACCGCAUACGACCUACGGGUGAGAGCAGGGGAUCUUCGGACCUUUCGCUAUUGAAUGAGCCGAUGUCGGAUUAGCUAGUUGGCGGGGUAAAGGCGCACCAAGGCGACGAUCCGUAGCUGGUCUGAGAGGAUGAUCAGCCACACUGGCACUGAGACACGGUCCAGACUCCUACGGGAGGCAGCAGUGGGGAAUAUUGGACAAUGGGCGCAAGCCUGAUACAGCCAUACCGCGUGGGUGAAGAAGGCCUUCGGGUUGUAAAGCCCUGUUGUUGGGAAAGAAAAGCAGCAGGUUAAUACCCCGCUGUUCUGACGGUACCCAAAGAAUAAGCACCGGCUAACUUCGUG
rnacentral:rRNA from 1 species